rnacentral:rRNA from 1 species
UACGAAGGGUGCAAACGUUGCUCGGAAUUACUGGGCGUAAAGCGUGCGCAGGCGGUUUUGUAAGCCAGAUGUGAAAUCCCCGGGCUCAACCUGGGAAUGGCAUUUGGGACUGCAAGGCUUGAGUGCGGCAGAGGAGACUGGAAUUCCUGGUGUAGCAGUGAAAUGCGUAGAUAUCAGGAGGAACACCGGUGGCGAAGGCGGUUCUCUGGGCAUGACCUGACGCUGAGGAGCGAAAGUGUGGGGAGCGAACAGG